ensembl:lncRNA
CUCAUUUGCACUGGCUGCAUUAAAGCGUCAACUGUCACUCUUCUCCCAGCUGGAUCCAAUGAAGACAGAAAGUGCAGAUUCGAGGAUGCCAGAGCCCCCUCCACAAGACCCUGGUAUUCCCGAAGGCCUCAAAACAAGCCCCCUAAACACAGAGGCUCUCGGGGAGUUUGCCCAAAACAUGUCAGAGCACAUACUUCGAUCAGUUUUUAGCCAAAAGGAAACAGUAGAACCUGAGGAGUCCAUUUAUAACCAAGAGCACGAAAUGCUAGCUGAGGCGCUAGCAUCCGCAGUGAUUGAGAUCGCUCUGAGUGAAGUGUGUAGAGGAAGAAACUUAAAGGACCACAUGGAGGGUGCUGAAAUAGAGAUGGAGAACAACAAGGGUGAACACCAGUGUUUUGAGGAUAAAUCUAGAAGAGACCAAGAACACCAGACUUCUACCCAGCCUUGCCAUCCACCUCUAUCCCAGUCAGGGCUUCCCGCUGUGGGAUCCCUCGACUACCCCGACGCCCCACCGACCACGCCUCUUCUCCCAGAGCUGGAGAGGAGCAGAAGCAGCUUCGCCCGUAAGCUAAAAGGAGGCCUGGCAAAGGUUUUCCUACCCUCGCCUCCUCCACCAACGCCAAAGGACAAGGAGGACAACGGAGACGCUUUGAUCAGCGACCCUCAUGUGGAACUGAUGGAGCAUCUCAUGCAGUCGCUGUCUACAGAUGAUUUGGGGAGAGGCAAUUUCGAAGUAGCACCUCUGCAUGAACCAACUAUAGAGACUUUUGCACAGGCUCUGUCAUGUGAUAUUACUAAGUGGGUUCUGGCUGCCAAAAAAAGAGAACAGAUGUCACAUGACAGUGAUCUCAACCUACUGGCCCAACAGCUGGCUGAAACCAUUAUCACGUCCUCCAUUGAUGAAGCUAAAGUGCUUAUCUAGGAUUUAAAGUGAUUCAUGGAGUCAGGUAUGAUGAAUAGCCUAUAUAUAUGCACACACAAGCUCAGUCCAUGGACUAUAUAUAUACAUAAAAGGUGGACAUAGCCACCAUAACACAAUCAGUUUAAUUGUCUUUUGUAGCUAUCUUAGUGUUUUUAAGUCAGACACGAAAAGUGAACCACUUAUUGGUUAACAGCUUAUGAGUAACAAGUCAUUAACCAAUUAGCAUUUCCUGGUUUAUCCACCUUUCUGACUCAAAUAAUGAUGACAGAUUUACAAAGGAAUUUCAUACUCUGUACACUAUGAUGUAAAACUAGCAACUGAGCCUCAAAAAGUUACCAGGUAUUCAGUGACAUCAGAGAGUAUGGAAGUACAUCUAUAAUAGCAGAAGGCUUUUUAGAAACCUGAGUAAUCGCCCCCUGUUCGGCAUCAGAAAGAAUGCAGGUAAAAGCAAGAUAGAUAGACUAUCUCUAGCAUAUACUUCUGUCCUACUCCACAUACUCCUUCGCUACACGAUGACAUGACAAAACAUUCUGUUCUGCAGCACAGGGAGAGAAGAUGCCUGCCACUUUGAGUUCUCUAAGCCACUAAAACACUGUGGAUUGUGGACUAUCUUUAGAGUUGGUCUAUAUAUACCCUUUCUGUGCAGCUUUUGACUACAAUCCUCAGCAAGUCCAUAGUCCUACCCAUUACCAAGCCAGUACUUCUCUGUUGGUCACUCUGUAGACUUAGAAGCUAAAUCUAUCAUUUAUAUAUAGUCUGUGGGGUCUGUUACUGUUAUUUCCUCUAAAGUAGGCAAUACACAUUAUCUUACUCCAAGAUUUGGGAAUUUCAUUUGUUACAGGAGUUAAUAUGAUUCAUUUGCAUUUGAUUGUAAUAUUAUAUUAAUGCUAUUUAUUAAUGAUAACAUAUUAUUAUGAGUUCAACUGUGUAUUCGUUUGUGUUUCUUGUUCAGAAAUGAACUUGUCAUUGAGGUUAAGUGGCAUUUCUGCAUCCUGAAAACUGCUGGAUGAUAAGUAACUGUUACAUUUCAUGAUGGAUUAAAGUACACUGGAUCUGACUUUUAUUUCUUUCUUACAAAACAAUACUUGGCUCCAAAAGCAAUAACCACAUUUGUCCUUUGGAUGGCAGCACAGUAAAGAAAUUUCAGCAUUUUUCAGCAUGAGCUCAGCAGUGCUGACCUACUUGGGACAUGACAACAACUGGAAUUAAUUUUGUUUUCCAUUUAGGAAAUCAUUUACUUUUAAAUGGUGGUCACCUGUCAGUAAAAUUGUUUUGUUUUGUUUGAUUUUGCUUCUAUGGUCAGGUCCUGCCAAAAGGGAAAGCCCUGCUAAAUAUAAUGCAGAGUACAACGACUUGCAGACUGCUAUAUCUGUAACAGAAGAUGAAACUGGACAGCAGAUGUUCUGUAGAUGAACUUGUAUCACACUGGAUUAUAAUCAGACAUAACAUUGGCAAAUUGUUUGGUUAGUUUUCUUUGUAAUCACCCUCAAAAUCUUUAUGUAUCCAGCAUGACUCAUUCAGCCCGUUCACUGAGCAACGAUACUGGCAUUUUGGACAAAUUUGUGUUCUGGCUCAAAGAAAGCUCGUUUUCAUACUCACUUCGUCCUUGAUGUCAGACCUUGGAAGAACAAAAAGAAAAAAGAAAAAAAAACGGGGCGCCACAGGUCUUAACCAAACACUGAUGCGAUCCUGGAAUCGAAUAAAAACUCUGUUUUCUUUUUAAAUCAGUAACUACUUAAACACAGUUGGAGAUUGACAAAUUUACUGCAAGAAAAUCUUUGCUGAACUUUUAAAGUGCUGUUUUGAAUAAAGAGUCUCAUUGUUCCUCUUAGUCACCGCUGUUUGAGUUCACACACUUUUUUGGUUCAAGAAACUAGGUAAGUGGGACACACAAACAGACUCAGACCCCCUUCCGCCCUCCCUUUUAUUUUGCACAAACACAAAACACACACACAAAAGCCCCACCAUACAAUAAACAACCCAAACAUGUGCAGAUGAUAUGAAGCAUAUUUCUCUCUUUCCACUAAAAAAACCCCAAUUAGGUCUGUAUGUUAAUACUUACAGACUUGUCUGGAUGAGGUAUAAACAUAUUAACAAAGAGUUCGAGCACAAAUUACUAACAUACAGCAGACAUAAGACUUAGUGCUUUUAUCAUUUUCAGUCAACACUAGUAAGAAGGCAGUCAGUCGCUUCUGUGACGAUGGAAAUAUUUGAAAACCAGUACGUCUUCAUUCCUGGCAAGUCAUAGUCUGCUCUUAUUUUCAAAUACAAUGCCCUCUCUCAGACAUGCACGAGGUGUCCUUUUUCCAUCAGUGCCAUGUUGUCUCAACAGGGAGAGAGGUCUCCC